rnacentral:lncRNA from 1 species
GGAGGGGCUGUUGUAAAGGAAGAGUCCAUUGGAGCAGACUGGGAGUUCGAAGUGUGGUGGCUCUUCAUUGGCUGAGUUAUGGCCGUCUGUCAUUGGCUGAGCUGUUGCUGGGCAAGGAGGAGUUUCUUCCUUCCUCCUGCUGGGGUAGUAAGUAGGUAGCAUCAUUUCCUAUUGGAGAUGCAAGAUAGCCUCUUCCUGGUGUGAGGCAAGAGGAGAAAGAACAGAAGGACCUCUAGAAGUCAACCUGUCAAUUCACUUACUCCAUAUAAUUAUGGAAGAUGCUGGAAACAGGAAAAACAUGUAAUCAAGUGUCUUUGCAGAUGUCAUCCAGUUAAGAUGCGGUCAUCAGGUGGGCCCUAAUCCAAUAUGACUAGUGUCCUUAUAAGAGGAGGAGAGACACAAACACAGACACACCCAGAGGGAAGACCAAGUGACCACCAAGAUUGGGGUUAUGUAUUUACAAGCCAAGGACUGCCAACAACAGCAGAAGCCAAGAGAAAGGCAUGGAACAGAUUGUCUCCUGGAGCCUUCAGAGAGAUCAUGGCCCUGCUGACACUUUGAUUUGGGACUUGUAAUCUCCAGACCUGUGAGAGACUACAUUUCUUUUGUUUUCAGUCCCUCAGUUUAUGGUACUUCGUUAUAGCAGCCCAAGCAAAGUAAGACAGCAAUUAUCUCGCUGGCCCAUUUGGAGUAGCCUACUCACUGUGAUGGGGACCAUGACUUAUUUCUCUGUGUUUCAUAAAUGAACUGCCACAAGUCCAUAGGUCGGGUGAAAGACCAACGUAACCUUGAAAUGAGUGAUCUGGAGUGAAGGUCACAUCCAUUUCUGUUCCUGAGAGCAGGUACCAGUUAACUACUAGGAUGGAAGCAAAUCUCUUGUUGGUUUUUUCCUCUCACCACUCUUUCCACUUCUUGUGAAUGGUUUAAAAAAAAAGAGAAGCAAUUGACUGUUUUUUUAAAAGUUAUUUUAUGAUGUUAAAUUUUUAUUGUGAAAGGAAAAAUGUUAAAGGGAAAGCUGCUUAUCUCAACCUGAAAGACAUACAGUGAGAGAAAAACUCAGACAGCAACUUAACGACUUACUGGUCUAGUGGUCCACAAUCCUGGCUGCACUUCAUAAUUACCUGGCGCCCUUUAAAAAUACCAUCAUUUAGGGGCUGGCCCCGUGGCCAAGUGGUUAAGUUCGCACGCUCCGCUGCAGGCGGCCCAGUGUUUCGUUGGUUCGAAUCCUGGGCGCGGACAUGGCACUGCUCAUGAAACCACGCUGAGGCAGCGUCCCAUAUGCCACAACUAGAAGGAGCCACAACGAAGAAUAUACAACUAUGUACUGGGGGGCUUUGGGGAGAAAAAGGAAAAAAUAAAAUCUUUA